ACGGGAGGCAGCAGUGAGGAAUAUUGGUCAAUGGGCGGGAGCCUGAACCAGCCAAGUAGCGUGAGGGAUGACUGCCCUACGGGUUGUAAACCUCUUUUGUUUGGGAAUAAAGGAGCCUACGUGUAGGCUUUUGCAUGUACCUUUCGAAUAAGCAUCGGCUAAUUCCGUGCCAGCAGCCGCGGUAAUACGGAAGAUGCGAGCGUUAUCCGGAUUUAUUGGGUUUAAAGGGAGCGUAGGCCGUGCUUUAAGCGUGUUGUGAAAUGUAGGCGCCCAACGUCUGCACUGCAGCGCGAACUGGAGCACUUGAGUACGCAGGAAGUAGGCGGAAUUCGUCGUGUAGCGGUGAAAUGCUUAGAUAUGACGAAGAACUCCGAUUGGGAAGCCAGCUUACUGUAGCGCCACUGACGCUGAUGCUCGAAAGCGUGGGUAUCGAACAGGAUUAGAUACCCUGGUA
rnacentral:rRNA from 1 species